rnacentral:rRNA from 1 species
UACGUAGGGUGCAAGCGUUGUCCGGAAUUAUUGGGCGUAAAGAGCUCGUAGGCGGUCUGUCACGUCGGCUGUGAAAACCUGGGGCUCAACCCCGGGCCUGCAGCCGAUACGGGCAGACUAGAAUUCGGUAGGGGAGACUGGAAUUCCUGGUGUAGCGGUGAAAUGCGCAGAUAUCAGGAGGAACACCGGUGGCGAAGGCGGUUCUCUGGGCCGAUAUUGACGCUGAGGAGCGAAAGCGUGGGGAGCAAACAGG